rnacentral:lncRNA from 1 species
GGGAUCUGGGCGGAUGCUCCCGCCUGCUGCUGUGACCAGGAGCCGGCCAGGAAGUCCCAACUUGCUUAGCUCCCCACCUAAUGAGUUUUGAACUUGACAGUUCAAGGAGUAAAAAAAAAGAGAAAGGGAAACUGUAUCUUCUGUCAUUCCUUUUAAGCACUUCCAUCUAGUUUAUGCUGGGUCACUCAGAACUUGAAAGUUCUUCCCACCGUUUCGAAAUUACUGUGAUGCCUUUAAACUGUGCCUUUCCAAUAGGACUGAGACUGCGCUGAGGGCAGGGGUUUUGCUUCUCCGUCUUUGCGUCUAUCAUUGUGUCUACUGCUACCCGCCCCCCCCCCCCCGCCCCGCUUUGCAGAGCGCUGGGAAGCCCCUCCCCAGCCAUCCUCCCUGCGGAGGGACUCGGGCAGAAGCCCCUACCCCGCCCCCCUCCCUGACGAGGGCUUCCGGUGGAAAGCUCCGUGCUGGGAGGAAAACAGCUCAGCCUCUAGCUCUGGCCUUGCCUGAUAGUCUUCCCAGGGCCCCACACCAGCCCUAUCACUUCUGUGCACGUGGAUGCCCCUGGGGGUUGAGAGGGGAGGCUGGAAAGGGGAGCAAGAGUGGGCUAUGGGGCCCCUGGCUUCUAGACUGUGAGGCUCACUUCCAACACCUCGGGAGAAUCAAGUAUUCAGCCCAGGAGGAAGACUCAGGCUUUCAGACGUUGCAUUGCAAGGGAAACGACUUUAAAAGGGGUGAGCUCAACUUGACCUCCAACUCUCCUAAGAGCAGCACUAUGCCCAAAGCCAUUCUCUGCAUAGGUUGGCUACUAGAGUGGGUCUUCUUUCCCUUUGUCAGGAGCUUUUGUAUUUGACAAUCCAUUUGCCCACAUGCCAUGCAGCAACUAAGCCUGUGCACCACAACUACUGAGCCUGCGCUCUAGAGCCUGCGAGCCACAAUUACUGGGCCCACGUGCCACAACUACUGAAGCCUGUGUGCCUAGAGCCUGUGCUCCACAACAAGAGAAGCCACCACAAUGAGAAGCCCGCACACCACAACGAAGAGUAGCCCCUGCUCACCACGACUAUAGAAAGCCCGCACAGAUCAACGAAGACCCGACACAGCCAAGAAUAAAUUAAUUAAAAAAAAAAGAAUAAAAAAAUAAAACUCCAUUUCUCAGCUGUAUUUGACAAUCCUCCUUUACUCUAGACAGCAGAGUGGGAAAGGCACUGGGUCAGGAGUUGAAAGACUAGCUCUGCCUGUCUGACAUUGAAUAUUCACUUAAAAUGGCUGACUCUCAGUUUUCCAUCUGUAAAAUGGGCAUAAUAGAACCAGCCUCUAAUUAUCACCUAGUUAUAAGGACCAAAUGAGAAAGUGCUCACAAAACUGUAAAAUGAAAUAUAAGUGAUAA